rnacentral:lncRNA from 1 species
CCCAGGGAUGCUUUACCACGGAGACACAUUCUGAGCUUUUUGUUUUUUAUUCUUGAGAUAGGAUUUCAUUGAGUUGCUUAGGGCCUUGCUAAAUUACUGAGGCUGACCUCAAACUUGUGAUCUUUCUGCCUUGGCCUCCUGAGUCGCUGACAAUACAGGUGUGCACCCCCAUGCCUAGCUUCCAUUACCUUUUGAUUGAGUAUCUAUUCAUACCUGCCCCUGGAGAACAGAGAUCAUACCUCUCUCUUUCUACAAUCCUCCAAGGCUCCCCAUUCCUCCCAGAUGAGAAUCUUUAGCAUGAGCCCCCAGGCCAGGUGGGAGCAUUUGCCACUUUCUGUGUGUAAGGGACAGGUGUUACUGGGAACCCCAGGGAUGCUCUGCCACUGAGCCACAUACCCAGCUCUUUAUUUUUUGAGACAGGGUCUGGCUAAGUUGCUUAGGCCUCACUAAAUGGCUGAGACAGACUUGAAUUUAUAAUCCUUCCGCCUCAGUCUCGGGAGUCAGUAGGAUCAAGGGUGUGGGCCACUACACCCAGUUUUUAUUUUUAAUUUUGAGACAGGAUCUCACUCAAACUUGUGAUCCUCCAGCCUCACCCUCCAGAGUCACUGGGAUUACAGAUGGGGUACUGCUGUGCCUGCUGCUCCUCGGUCUUCUAAUGGGUUCUUCUGAUUUAAAUCAGGCAGGGCUUUCUGCUGAAGACUCUGGGUUCCAGCCUGGGGUAGGCUUCGUCUUGUGUCUGGGCCACUGUUCACUCUUCAUUGGACUUACCAGUGCACAUUCUUCAAGACUCAGGUCAAAGCCAGUGUUUUCCCAGGAAGGUUUCACACUCCCUGAGCAGGAUGCGCUGCUGCCUGUUCACCCAAGUCACCAGCUCUGUCCCGGCGUGAACCUUCGCUCUCCUUACAGCAUCAGUCUUUGCAGAUGAUCUGGGAGCUCCAGUGCCUCCUUGUUCCCUACUGCCAUCCAGCACUAGCACAGAAGUCACAAUGUGGGGGGUGGCCAGGAAGGGGAGGGUUUGAUCGAUUUGUCCCCUGAUCUCCCAGGCUGAGGACUGUGCCCUGUGCCCUGCUAUUGCAUGCCACGUGUGUCCUCAGAGCCAUGUUCUUCCCUUGCCUUCAGGGAUAACCCCUAGGGAUCCAAACAGUGACCCUGAAGCUGGGCAUUCCUUUGUCCACACCCCCAGGCCCAGCAAGACCCAUGGUCCGCUGUGCACUCAGGGACUUGUCCUUGUGCUCUCCAAAUCCCCUGGACAUUCUCAUGACCAUGGAUGACCUCACACCUACUUUUUCAACAGAAUUUUUGGGCACAGUUUAUGGGCAGAUUGCACCCAAAGCCUGGACCCUCUUCCCAAAGGACAAACAAGGGUCAAACAUUGGGUCAACUCAGUCUGUAAUAGUAUAAUCCGUGAAGGUGUCCAAUGACCCUGAAAGAGGCACUAGGCACAGGGCAUUGAGGCAGUCCUUGAACACCCUUUGCCAUAGCAAACCGCGCCCCCCAAAUCCUUUCUAAUAAAAUAAUUCAUGGGAGCAAAAAUGAAUUUAUGAGAAUGUUUAUCACAGCAUUGCUCAUCACAGUGGGAAAAAAAA